GCCGGGAUGGCGGAAGGGUAGACGCAUUCGACUUAAAAUCGAACGGGAAAUCCCGCCU
rnacentral:tRNA from 1 species